rnacentral:rRNA from 1 species
UACGUAGGGUGCGAGCGUUAAUCGGAAUUACUGGGCGUAAAGCGUGCGCAGGCGGUGAGCUGUGUCCGAUGUGAAAGCCCCGGGCUUAACCUGGGAAUGGCAUUGGAAACUGGCUCGCUGGAGUGUGGCAGAGGGGGGGUGGAAUUCCGCGUGUAGCAGUGAAAUGCGCAGAUAUCAGGAGGAACACCGGUGGGCGAAGGCGGGUCUCUGGGCCGAUACUGACGCUGAGGAGCGAAAGCGUGGGGAGCGAACAGG